AACUUUUAACAACGGAUCUCUUGGUUCUCGCAUCGAUGAAGAACGUAGCAAAGUGCGAUAACUAGUGUGAAUUGCAUAUUCAGUGAAUCAUCGAGUCUUUGAACGCAUCUUGCGGUCGUUGGUAUUCCAACGACCACGCCUGUUUCAGUA
rnacentral:rRNA from 2 species